rnacentral:rRNA from 1 species
UACGGAGGGUGCAAGCGUUAUCCGGAUUCACUGGGUUUAAAGGGAGCGUAGGUGGCUUUGUAAGUCAGUGGUGAAAGCCCGCAGCUCAACUGCGGAACUGCCAUUGAUACUGCUUAGCUUGAAUCAGGUCGAGGUGGAUGGAAUAAUACAUGUAGCGGUGAAAUGCUUAGAUAUGUAUUAGAACACCGAUUGCGAAGGCAGUUCACUAGGCCUGUAUUGACACUGAGGCUCGAAAGCGUGGGGAUCAAACAGG